rnacentral:tRNA from 1 species
GGAUUAUAGCUCAGUGAUAGAGCUCCUAUCUAGCAUGCAUGAGGCCCUGGGUUCAAUUCCCAGUACCA